rnacentral:lncRNA from 1 species
UCAUCGGUUGUAGGGAUUGAACGGCGGCGGAGGAGGUGUCGGAGGUAGAAAAAGGGUAUAGCGUGGCGGUGGCGUACUGGCGUGGGUGGAACGGUAGCGGUAGAACGUGGUGGUUGUGAUCAGAGAGGAAAGGAGGAAGAGGGCUCUGUGUUUGUCUGUGUAAUAUCCACUUGCAUGGUUGCCACCAUUAACGAGUGUUGAUAUGUAUUUCAUCUUCUUCCUAUUACUGAUCUGUAUAUAUUUCAAUUUUUUUAUGGUAG